rnacentral:rRNA from 1 species
UGGUUUAAUUUGAAGCAACGCGAAGAACCUUACCAGGUCUUGACAUCCUUUGACCACCCAAGAGAUUGGGCUUCCCCUUCGGGGGCAAAGUGACAGGUGGUGCAUGGUUGUCGUCAGCUCGUGUCGUGAGAUGUUGGGUUAAGUCCCGCAACGAGCGCAACCCUUGAUUUUAGUUGCCAGCAUUGAGUUGGGCACUCUAAGGUGACUGCCGGUGACAAACCGGAGGAAGGUGGGGAUGACGUCAAAUCAUCAUGCCCCUUAUGACCUGGGCUACACACGUGCUACAAUGGAUGGUACAAAGGGCAGCGAAACCGCGAGGUGAAGCCAAUCCCAUAAAGCCAUUCUCAGUUCGGAUUGCAGGCUGCAACUCGCCUGCAUGAAGCCGGAAUUGCUAGUAAUCGCGGAUCAGCAUGCCGCGGUGAAUACGUUCCCGGGUUUUGUACACACCGCCCGUCACACCACGAGAGUU